GAUCAUGGCUCAGGAUGAACGCUAGCUACAGGCUUAACACAUGCAAGUCGAGGGGAAACGACAUCGAAAGCUUGCUUUUCAAAGUUAGUGGCGGACGGGUGAGUAACGCGUGGGUAACCUGCCUCAUACAGGGGAAUAGCAGCUGGAAACGGCUGAUAAAACCGCAUAAGCGCACAGUGCCGCAUGGCACAGUGUGAAAAACUCCGGUGGUAUGAGAUGGACCCGCGU
rnacentral:rRNA from 1 species